GUGAAUCAUCAAAUCUUUGAACGCAAAUUGCACUCUCUGGUAUUCCGGAGAGUAUGCCUGUUUGAGGGUCAGUUUAAAUAACAAUCGGUGUGGUUGCUGCCUUUCGCGGUGACGCACCGGGUGUGGGUCGUCUUCCCUUCGGUUAAGUGACCUAAAAUUUUGCAUGCUUCAUUCGAAUGGAUUUAUGGGAUUUUAAGUACGUUUGUGAUUUCGAA
rnacentral:misc_RNA from 1 species